rnacentral:rRNA from 1 species
AGAACGAACGCUGGCGGCAGGCCUCAAACAUGCAAGUCUAGGGGGUGCAGCAAUGCAUCACCGGCGGACGGGUGCGUAACACGUGGGAAUAUACCUUUUGGUUCGGAACAACGCAGGGAAACUUGCGCUAAUACCGAAUGUGCCCUUACGGGGAAAGAUUUAUCGCCAAAGGAUUAGCCCGCGUCCGAUUAGCUAGUUGGUGAGGUAAUGGCUCACCAAGGCUCCGAUCGGUAGCUGUUCUGAGAGGAAGAUCAGCCACACUGGGACUGAGACACGGCCCAGACUCCUACGGGAGGCAGCAGUUGGGAAUCUUGGACAAUGGGGGAAACCCUGAUCCAGCCAUGCCGCGUGAGUGAUGAAGGCCUUCGGGUUGUAAAACUCUUUCGACGGGGACGAUAAUGACGGUACCGUAGAAGAGCUCCGGCUAACUCGUGCCAGCAGCCGC